UGGCAAUAUCCUGCUGUAAGGUCCUUAUGUUACACAUGUUAAAAAUCCAAAAUUCAACCGAGUGAACUUUAAAGGUCCUAUUGACUUUUUCCAGUGAUUCAUGAAUUGGGCAACAACCAGUCCAGUAGAUAAAAAGGAGCUCCCAGGAGCUGUAGGCAGAAGGGAGCAGGAACAAGGAAGUUGUAUCAGGCAAGAAAGCUGGUUGACUACUGGAAGGUGACUUUCCUUUAGAGGAUGGCACGGGUCUAUCAGGCAGAUGUCCUGACUAGUGAUGAUCAGGUUAUUACAAGAUAUUGAAUAUGGUUCCCUGUGCCAUACAGUUAUUCUGGAGAAUUUUGAGCACCACAUGUGAGAAGAACAUAAAUUGUGCUGUAGUCACCCCGAACAUCGGACAGGACUCAUGCCUUGCCACGUGACACGUGGGUACAGCUACUAGGGGACUCUUAGCCUGAAGAGAAGAUUCAGCAGUAAUAAGGUAAUUGUUGAUUUAAUCAGUCUAUUUAUCUUGUCCUUUUUUUUUUUUUUUUUUUUUUGUGGUACGCGGGCCUCUCACUGUUGUGACCUCUCCUGUUGUGGAGCAUAGGCUCCAGACGCACCGGCUCAGCGGCCACGGCUCACAGGCCCAGCCGCUCCGCGGCAUGUGGGAUCCUCCCGGACCGGGACACAAACCCGUGUCCCCUGCAUCGGACUCUCAACCACUGCGCCACCAGGGAAGCCCUAUCUUGUCUUUUAUG